AACGAACGCUGGCGGCAGGCUUAACACAUGCAAGUCGAACGCAUCCUUCGGGGUGAGUGGCAGACGGGUGAGUAACGCGUGGGAACGUGCCCUUCAGUUCGGGAUAACCCAGGGAAACUUGGGCUAAUACCGGAUACGUGCGAGAGCAGAAAGAUAUAUCGCUGAAGGAUCGGCCCGCGUCUGAUUAGCUAGUUGGUGGGGUAAUGGCCAACCAAGGAGACGAUCAGUAGCUGGUCUGAGAGGAUGAUCAGCCACAUUGGGACUGAGACACGGCCCAAACUCCUACGGGAGGCAGCAGUGGGGAAUAUUGGACAAUGGGCGCAAGCCUGAUCCAGCCAUGCCGCGUGAGUGAUGAAGGCCUUAGGGUUGUAAAGCUCUUUCGUCCGGGACGAUAAUGACGGUACCGGAAGAAGAAGCCCCGGCUAACUUCGUGCCAGCCGCCGCCGUAAAAC
rnacentral:rRNA from 1 species